rnacentral:tRNA from 1 species
UCGGCUGUGGUGUAAUUGGCAACACCUGCGGUUUUGGUCCGUAUGUUCCAGGUUCGAGUCCUGGCAGCCGAGC